rnacentral:lncRNA from 1 species
GUGUUUCUCUUUUUUCACAUCCAAGAUCUCACCUUCCUGGUGUCUGGGCUUCUGCAGCUUCUGCUUCUUGAAUUAAGCAUCAGAGAUGGUUGGGGAUUUUCCCAUUGCGGAUAUCAGCUUUUGUGGAGACGGUGAUAACAGAUUUGUGGUGUGCUCUAUGCGAGGAACUCAAUUGAGGGACAGAGGUCCGGUCACAAGUAGCAAGCCACUGCUCAAGUGCUUCUGGAAAACUGCUCUCUUCCUCUGUGGCACUCACUGAGGAUGAACGAGAUGGUGCCGGAGCGAUGCUCACACUGAAGGAUUUAUGCCCAGGCUCCAUGACUUUUAUUGCCCAUCUUUGGUAGGAUAGUACCUGGGCAUUUUGUGAAGUUUAACCACCCUGGUACCAUGGUUUUUGUCACCACCGAUUGGUUUUGUGACAGAAGAACCUCCUUCUUUCAAUGUUCCAUUUAGCAGCUGAGUACUGUAUCUUGUAUUUCUACCAAUUCCUUUAAUCAGGACAGGUUUUGGGCUGCACUGGGUCUCCAUUUCUUGGGCGCCUUAACCUUAGGAUUUCCCUUUUAAACUGUGCCAAUGGCAUCGGGCUUCUUGGUUCCAGGUUUCUUCUCUUUAGUGUCCGGCUUCUCAGCUUUUUCACCUGUUAUUUUGCAAGAUGGGAAAAAGAACUGAGUCCCCUGCUUGCUUUUUUCCUUUGGUUAAAAAGUGUCCAAAUGGGGUUCCGGGUGUGACUCAGUGGUAUGUUCAAAGCUUCCUUCCUAAGCAUUGCAAACACCAAAGCAAAAGAGCAUCCAAACUGGGCACAGUGG